rnacentral:lncRNA from 1 species
UGAUUAUUAAAACAUGCUGGGUUUUCAGAUUGUGAGCUGCUCUAGCUCUUUUCUAGUGAAAACUGUGAGCUCUAUCCAUGUUCUUCCUUAUUUUCAGAUAUUUACAUUGCAUUUCUUCAGAGAAAUGCAUGCUGUAUGCACCACGGCUACAAUGGACAACAGUCAAAUUUCAAGCUCUAUGAAUCUCAGCACAAUUUCUACCUACUAUAAUUCAAAAUGAUUUUAUUAGGUCAGUGGAGUUGAAGUCAUUUAUAUCAAGCAUAAAAUGCUGAGGAACAAAACUGGAAAACAGACCGUCAAGGAUUUUCUAUCUAUUAUAACCUGGCAUGUGGAAGAUGAAUACAUGAAAUGUCUGAAAAGUGGGACAGAUGUAAAACAGUUCUUCAACAAAAAUAAGCAAGUUACACCAUUUUUCUGCAAGUAUUCCUGCAGUCAUGACACUUCACCUCCCGAUUCCAACAAAUCAUGGCUGAAGCAAAUAAUCCACACUGAAUAUUACUUACAGAAAUGGCAUAUCAACCACAGUCUUCUCUGGG